UACGUAGGCAGCAAGCGUUGUUCGGAGUUACUGGGCGUAAAGAGUGCGUAGGCGGUCUUUUAAGUUUGGUGUGAAAUCUCCCGGCUCAACUGGGAGGGUGCGCCGAAAACUGGGAGGCUUGAGGAUGGGAGAGGCAUGCGGAAUUCCUGGUGUAGCGGUGAAAUGCGUAGAUAUCAGGAGGAACACCUGCGGUGUAGACAGCAUGCUGGACCGUUUCUGACGCUGAGGCACGAAAGCGUGGGUAGCAAACAGG
rnacentral:rRNA from 1 species